rnacentral:rRNA from 1 species
AUGACUGCAACCAGUGAAGCACGCGGCCACCGGUGUCUCCGGCGUGCGGGAGCACGUCCAGGAGGUCCGCCGUGGCCGGAUCCGUCUGUUUCGGGGACCAGCUCAAGCCGGACCGCCUCGUACGCUCACCAUCGUCGUCUUCUUCGUCCCGUACAUCGUCGUCCGUCGUCGAUUACCGCCGUUCCGGUCAACCCCGACUCUCCCCAACCUCGCCACCGAGCUAGCUACGAUAGAGCCCAGGAGCCAGACGCCACCGUCGAUGACGACUACUACACUGGAGGCGCCUACUACUACGUGCAGCCCGCGGACGACGACCAGGAGUAG